AUUGAACGCUGGCGGCAGGCCUAACAAAUGCAAGUCGAGCGAGAGUCGGACGGGUGAGUAACGUCUGGGAAACUGCCUGAUGGAGGGGGAUAACUACUGGAAAAGGUAGCUAAUACCGCAUACCAUCAGAUGUGCCCAGAUGGGUUAAGCUAGUAGGUGGGGUAACGGCUCACCUAGGCGACGAUACCUAGCUGGUCUGAGAGGAUGACCAGCAACACUGGAACUGAGAAACGGUCCAGACGCCUAGGGGAGGCAGCAGUGGGGAAUAUGGCACAAUGGGAGCAAGCCUGAUGCAGCCAUGCCGGGUGUGUGAAGAAGGCGUUCGGGUUGUAAAGCACUUACAGCGGGGAGGCGUUACUCGCAGAAGAAGCACCGGCUAACUCAGAGCCAGCAGCCGCGGUAAUAC
rnacentral:rRNA from 1 species